rnacentral:rRNA from 1 species
UAUCAGGUAGGACUACCCGCUGAACUUAAGCAUAUCAAUAAGCGGAGGAAAAGAAACCAACAGGGAUUGCCUUAGUAGCGGCGAGUGAAGCGGCAAAAGCUCAAAUUUGAAAUCUGGCUCUUUCAGAGUCCGAGUUGUAAUUUGAAGAAGGUAUCUUUGGGUCUGGCUCUUGUCUAUGUUUCUUGGAACAGAACGUCACAGAGGGUGAGAAUCCCGUGCGAUGAGAUGAUCCAGGCCUAUGUAAAGUUCCUUCGAAGAGUCGAGUUGUUUGGGAAUGCAGCUCUAAGUGGGUGGUAAAUUCCAUCUAAAGCUAAAUAUUGGCGAGAGACCGAUAGCGAACAAGUACAGUGAUGGAAAGAUGAAAAGAACUUUGAAAAGAGAGUGAAAAAGUACGUGAAAUUGUUGAAAGGGAAGGGCUUGAGAUCAGACUUGGUAUUUUGUAUGUUACUUCUUCGGGGGUGGCCUCUACAGUUUAUCGGGCCAGCAUCAGUUUGGGCGGUAGGAGAAUUGCGUUGGAAUGUGGCACGGCUUCGGUUGUGUGUUAUAGCCUUCGUCGAUACUGCCAGCCUAGACUGAGGACUGCGGUUUAUACCUAGGAUGUUGCAUG